CUGGGUUUCCUUUUUUUUUUCUUCUUCUGCCUUGUUUAGUUCACUCUGAAAAUCAAAAAGUUUUUAAGAUUCUUCGUCAUAUCGAAUCUUGUGGCACAUGCAUAAAACAUUAAAUAUUUUUGAAUAUUAUUUAUUAUAAACAAACGAAAAUGCUACAGUACUUAUCGGAACUAAACAAGGCUUCUUCUUUUGUUUCACAAGAAGAAGAACGCCUUAUCAACGGGUUUCAUUUUUCGUUUUAUAUUAAACAAAAACGUGGUC
rnacentral:lncRNA from 1 species